rnacentral:rRNA from 1 species
CMGAMYCSUGMUCCUYYGCAAGAUGGAUCUCUUCCCUUCGGGGACUGGAACACAGGUGCUGCAUGGCUGUCGUCAGCUGGGUCGWGAGAUGUUGGGUUAAGUCCCGCAACGAGCGCAACUCCGCCUKKAGUUACCAUCAUUUAGUUGGGGACUCUAAAGGAACCGCCGGUGAUAAGCCGGAGGAAGGUGGGGAUGACGUCAAGUCCUCAUGGCCCUUACGCGCUGGGCUACACACGUGCUACAAUGGCGGUGACAGUGGGCAGCAAACUCGCGAGAGUGCGCUAAUCUCCAAAAGCCGUCUCAGUUCGGAUUGUUCUCUGCAACUCGAGAGCAUGAAGGCGGAAUCGCUAGUAAUCRCGGAUCAGCAUGCCGCGGUGAAUACGUUCCCGGGUCUUGUACACACCG